rnacentral:rRNA from 1 species
UACGGGGGGGGCAAGCGUUGUUCGGAAUUACUGGGCGUAAAGGGCUCGUAGGCGGCCAACUAAGUCGGACGUGAAAUCCCUCGGCUUAACCGGGGAACUGCGUCCGAUACUGGAUGGCUUGAGAUUGGGAGAGGGAUGCGGAAUUCCAGGUGUAGCGGUGAAAUGCGUAGAUAUCUGGAGGAACAUCAGUGGCGAAGGCGGCUACCUGGCCCAAUACUGACACUCAGGUGCGACAGCGUGGGGAGCAAACAGG